GGUUUUGCUUCGCCUGAAGCGAAACGGAAAGAUGGCGCAAGCUAUCACUUACAGAUGGGCCUGCGGCGCAUUAGCUAGUUGGUGAGGUAAUGGCUCACCAAGGCAACGAUGCGUAGCCGACCUGAGAGGGUGACCGGCCACACUGGGACUGAGACACGGCCCAGACUCCUACGGGAGGCAGCAGUAGGGAAUUUUCCACAAUGGACGAAAGUCUGAUGGAGCAACGCCGCGUGAACGAUGAAGGCUUUCGGGUCGUAAAGUUCUGUUGUUAGGGAAGAAACAGUGCUAUUUAAAUAAGGUAGCACCUUGACGGUACCUAACGAGAAAGCCACGGCUAACUACGUGCCAGCAGCCGCGGUAAUACGUAGGUGGCAAGCGUUGUCCGGAAUUAUUGGGCGUAAAGCGCGCGCAGGUGGCUAUGUAAGUCUGAUGUUAAAGCCCGAGGCUCAACCUCGGUUCGCAUUGGAAACUGUGUAGCUUGAGUGCAGGAGAGGAAAGUGGUAUUCCACGUGUAGCGGUGAAAUGCGUAGAGAUGUGGAGGAACACCAGUGGCGAAUGCGACUUUCUGGCCUGUAACUGACACU
rnacentral:rRNA from 1 species